rnacentral:rRNA from 1 species
UAAUACGUAGGGACCGAGCGUUGUCCGGAAUCAUUGGGCGUAAAGAGCGUGUAGGCGGCCUGUUAAGUCUUGCGUGAAAUCUCGGGGCUCAACCCCGAGCGGUCGUGAGAAACUGGCGGGCUAGAGUGUGGGAGAGGAGAGUGGAAUUCCUGGUGUAGCGGUGAAAUGCGCAGAUAUCAGGAAGA